rnacentral:lncRNA from 1 species
UCAGCGCAUUCGUAUGCCUCCUGAACCAUAUUUUCAAGCCUUAACACUGAUUUGAAACCUGAUUCAGGUUCAGAAUCAAACAGACCUUCUUACUCUUUGCGUUUCCUCGGAACAAAUUUGGCAAUGUUUUUUGAAUAUGGGUUACAUAGAGGACCCGAAUGGACUGGAUGGAGUUGCAGCUUUUCGAGCCCGGUGUCAGUACGUUUAAGGCUGAGGGCGCGGAUCUCUGUUUCUUUCCAAUCCUGGAAAUCUAUUGGAUAUUGGAAGUGCUGAGCGAAGCGGCCUCUUACUGGAGCUGUUUUCAGUUCGGUCGCCAAAUAAUGCCGAUAAUGCUGUCCGACCCUCCUAUCAACGAUGAGGACAGUGUUAGCUGCGCGUAUCAUAUAGCUUACUGGCCGCCAUGGGCAGAGCUCGGCUUCCCCGUAAAUACUGCAGUAUUUGUUGCUCUAGGAGGCGUAUUCCGGUUCAUGAUCUCAAGGUCUGGAUCGGCCCUGCUCGUUCCAACAUUGCCAAUUGCGCUUGGGAGGACGACCUCCGUUAGGGUCAACCUAGGCCCCUGCGGACGCAGAUAAAGCUGGGCGGCGCCUAGCUCCUGGCCAUGCCUGGUGAUAUGGGGUCCCGGACUCCGGCGCCUCGUGUCAUGUAAGGAGCGGCUCCCAAGCAUUCCUGCGCCUGCUCCCAGACCUUGGCGCUCUAUGCAGCGACGAGAUGUCACUUAAUGACCGUAAGGGCUGUGCUUGCUUAUGAUAAUAGCUGUGUCUCUCAAGAGGUGCUGUCCGAAACACGCUUCAGCACCUCACAGGGGGUUGCGAAACGCCACGAAGGAGUGAUCUGUCGUGGAUUCCCGACGUAUCCGGUGUCGAGUGCGCAUGCACGAAGCUGCCUCUGGUUAAAGGCUUAAGGAAUUAAGACAAUGAACCUUCCUUGUGGAAGGCGUAUGGAUUAGCCACCGCGUUGACUCCGCUUCAUGAUCUAGGCUCAUCUACAGUCGAUAAAGUUUCUUCAUGGUGCAGAUAUGAUCGUCUACGGUACGUUCGGUAACAUGUGGUUUAUCGCUUGCGGCAACGUUUUCAUGCCGUACGGCGCAUUCUUCCCAUGAGAAAGUUUGCCUACAGAUUUCGUGAUAAUAAUCUCUAAUCGUGUCCAAAUGAACGUUAAAUGGUUUUUAAUGCCCGCGGGUGGACUUCCACGUGCUCGGAGCCACAAACCAGAUAACCCAUAACCGAAGCUGAUGCCGCGAUCAGACGUCGGCAACCGCAGUUUUGUGGUCUUGGGAACGUUUAGGACGCCUGUUUUACUGCAACCCAAAUUUUUUCUUUUCGGCACCAAAUUUGGUCGUGUCAAAGACGUCAUUGAAUCAAACGGCCCUACGGGCCGCAUAUGAGGCCUUUACUGCCUUUGGAUAACGUAUGUGUAUGUGCGAUGUACCAGUUUUACUGCUGGCUGCGAGGUUUGGGAGCUUUUUUACGGUCUUGGGAAAAUUGGUACGAUCCGAGGGUGCGCCUAAGAGCUGCCGAUGUCUGGCCGCGAUGUUCAUCUACAAAACGCCAUGUUGAAUUGCUAUGUUACGCAAGGCACUUAAAAACAGAAGUAUCGAAGGGCAGUGAAUGUUUCUAUGGGGUCUGACGCGCAGCUAUACUACAGUCGUGCCUAGCGACGUAAUACCGCAUGUUGUAACCUUUCAAACAGCUAAAGGAUAACUGUAUGCUAGUUCGUUUGUCCAAGGUUUAUUGCCUAAAACUUUCAGGUAAGAGGUUUCAUUACGUUACGUCCUAACUGUACUGAAUGCCCUCCGCACUGGCGAUGCACGAGACAUCUUUGCUGUUUGUAGAUAAGACUAUUGAAUUG